ACCAGACUCCUACGGGAGGCAGCAGUGGGGAAUAUUGCACAAUGGGGGAAACCCUGAUGCAGCGACGCCGCGUGAGUGAAGAAGUAAUUCGUUAUGUAAAGCUCUAUCAGCAGGGAAGAAAAUGACGGUACCUGAGUAAGAAGCCCCGUCUAACUACGUGCCAGCAGCCGCGGUAAUACGUAGGGGGCAAGCGUUAUCCGGAUUUACUGGGUGUAAAGGGAGCGUAGACGGCAGUGCAAGUCUGGAGUGAAAGGCGGGGGCUCAACCCCCGGACUGCUCUGGAAACUGCGGCGCUGGAGUACGGGAGGGGCAGGCGGAAUUCCUGGUGUAGCGGUGAAAUGCGUAGAUAUCAGGAGGAACACCGGCGGCGAAGGCGGCCUGCUGGACCGUGACUGACGUUGAGGCUCGAGAGCGUGGGGAGCAAACAGGAUUAGAUACCCGCGUAA
rnacentral:rRNA from 1 species